AGAAGAAAUGUUAGGAAUUCAACAGCAAACGUCAUCCCUGUACUCGCCAAGAGCCGUCUCCAGCCUCUAUUUCUAUCACUUCUUUUCUCCUUCUGAAGUUAGCAUGCUAACAGCUAGCUCUGGUCUGGCCUGUGUUCUGACGAGUUGUGUUACCUAUCAAUUAGCGGUUCUGUUGAUGGUUUUGGUUAGAGCCUCUGCUAUAAAUUUAUGCUAUGUUAGCAUUUUUUGGACAACGCAGCCCAAGUCGUCAGAACACCGACCCGUUUUGUCACUUCCUGAUAGCGAGUCACUGCAGCAUCCAGGCUACCCUGAAGAAGUAGCGCUUCUCAGAGGACGUAUUGUAACAUCUUGUAUUGUAAACACAAUAAUGGCUGAAGGUCUUCGUUAGCCUGCACCCUCUGGAUGAACUGGAACUCUGACUGUGAUCCAGGCCUUAUCACCCAGCAUCAGUGUUGGACCUCGCUAAUGCUGCCGUGGCUGAAUGGGAGCAAAUCUCUGCAGCCAUAUUUUCAAAUCCUGUCUUCAGCAAAGUGUGGACGGCCAACUGGAGACCCAUUUAAUCACAGCUCCCCUAAUGGACAGUGAUGGGACGUUUAAUCUGAGAAGCUUUUGAAGCUGCCCCAGGGGAGCUCCUUACUCCUUCGCUUUCUGUUCACUCCCUUCCUGUUUUCCUCUCUCUCUCUUUCUACCUCUCUUUACAUCUCUCUCAUC